rnacentral:lncRNA from 1 species
AGCCCAGAAACUGCCCGACGGCUCUCUCUGCCAAGGAGGAGGGGUCUUUCUUUCUCCCUCUCCUUGCCCCACACUGAUACAAAGAUUCUGGAUCUCUAUUCUCAUGAGAUCUAUGAAAUCCUUUCUUUCUGUUUUACCCUCUCUUCUCUCCUAAGGAGUAUGUAUUUUUCACCAUUCUUAUCCUUUGUCUUAUCACAGAAGUAGAGAAGUGCCUGACUCUUUGUGGAAUCAUAUCCAGCCCACCACACCUGGUCGUCUUACCUCAUCAGCAUGUGGAUGUUACUAAAGUGUGGAGGGAAGGAAGCUAAGCUGGAGAGACAUUCUGCUUGUAUCCUGAAUGUUCAAAUGCUAUCUUCCAAGGAAACAGACUAUGAGACAAAACAGAGAUUAGAGAAUGUUGUGACGUCUAGGAAAGGCUCUGUUUGUACCUGCUUAUCUGAGAAGAUUGCUGUUGAAGUGAAGCUGUUGGAGGUGGAGUGGCUUCGUUUGUUAGGUGGGGCGUUUCCUCCAUUGUCACAUGUGAGGGGAAAAAAAUCCAGAGAAGUCAUUGCUUUUAUUAUAGCUCCUUUGUCCUACCAGGUGCCUCUUCAGAUCUUAGCCACUGUCAGUAUAAUCGUCUUUUAGUGAUCGCAUUUAUUCCAUUCUAGAAGGUAACCAACAUUGGGUUUUUGUGUCCCUUUGAAGUCUUUGUACUUCUAAAUCUUCUAUGUCCUGUUUGCUAAUAUUUCACAUUUUGUCCUUGAAAAUAACUGUAAUUACUAAACUGAUAAAAAUUAAAUAAAAGUACAAAGUUGUUGGGGCCGGCCCA